rnacentral:rRNA from 1 species
CCUCAGUAACGGCGAGUGAAGCGGCAACAGCUCAAAUUUGAAAUCUGGCCCCCCUCGGGGUCCGAGUUGUAAUUUGGAGAGGGUGCUUCGGCUUGGCCGCCGGUCUAAGUUCCUUGGAACAGGGCGUCGCAGAGGGUGAGAAUCCCGUACGUGCCCGGUCGGCCCCGCCGUGUGAAGCCCCUUCGACGAGUCGAGUUGUUUGGGAAUGCAGCUCUAAACGGGAGGUAAAUUUCUCCUAAAGCUAAAUACCGGCCAGAGACCGAUAGCGCACAAGUAGAGUGAUCGAAAGAUGAAAAGCACUUUGGAAAGAGAGUUAAAAAGUACGUGAAAUUGUUGAAAGGGAAGCGCUCGCGACCAGAACCGAACGCGGACGUCCGUCCGGGCCUCGCGCCCGGCUUGUCCGCCCGCGUUCGGGCCAGCAUCGGUUUGGGCGGCCGUACAAAGGCCGCGGGAACGUGGCUCCCCUCGGGGAGUGUUAUAGCCCGCGGUGCAAUGCGGCCAGCCCGGACCGAGGCCCGCGCUUCUGCUAGGAUGCUGGCGUAAUGGUCGUGAGCGGCCCGUCUUGAAACACGGACCAAGGAGUCUAACAUCUGUGCGAGUGUUUGGGCGUCAAACCCACGCGCGUAAUGAAAGUGAACGGAGGCGGGAGCCCUCGGGCGCACCGCCGACCGAUCCUGAUGUCUUCGGAUGGAUUUGAGUAAGAGCACAGCUGUUGGGACCCGAAAGAUGGUGAACUAUGCCUGAACAGGGUGAAGCCAGAGGAAACUCUGGUGGAGGCUCGCAGCGGUUCUGACGUGCAAAUCGAUCGUCAAAUUUGGGCAUAGGGGCGAAAGACUAAUCGAACCAUCU